AUUGAACGCUGGCGGCAUGCUUUACACAUGCAAGUCGAACGGCAGCGCGGGCUUCGGCCUGGCGGCGAGUGGCGAACGGGUGAGUAAUACAUCGGAACGUGCCCAGUAGUGGGGGAUAGCUCGGCGAAAGCCGGAUUAAUACCGCAUACGGCCUGAGGUUGAAAGCGGGGGAUCUUCGGACCUCGCGCUAUUGGAGCGGCCGAUGGCAGAUUAGCUAGUUGGUGGGGUAAAGGCCUACCAAGGCGACGACCUGUAGCUGGUCUGAGAGGACGACCAGCCACACUGGGACUGAGACACGGCCCAGACUCCUACGGGAGGCAGCAGUGGGGAAUUUUGGACAAUGGGCGAAAGCCUGAUCCAGCAAUGCCGCGUGUGUGAUGAAGGCCUUCGGGUUGUAAAGCACUUUUGGCGGGAACGAAAAGGACUGUGCCAAUACCACGGUUCGAUGACGGUACCCGCAGAAUAAGCACCGGCUAACUACGUG
rnacentral:rRNA from 1 species